GUACACGCUGUGACUAGCAUAUCAAUAAGCGGAGGAAAAGAAACUAACAAGGAUUCCCUCAGUAACGGCGAGUGAAGCGGGAAGAGCUCAAGUUUGAAAUCUUGAAAGGUCACCUUUCACGAAUUGUAGUUUAAAGAAGUGUUUUCUGUUACGAUCGUAAUAUAAGUUCUUUGGAAUAGGACAUCACAGAGGGUGAGAAUCCCGUCUAUGAUUGCGAUUUGUAGCUUUGUGAUACACUUUCAAAGAGUCGGGUUGUUUGGGAAUGCAGCCCAAAACGGGAGGUAAAUUUCUUCUAAGGCUAAAUAUUGGCGAGAGACCGAUAGCGAACAAGUACCGUGAGGGAAAGAUGAAAAGAACUUUGAAAAGAGAGUUAAAUAGUACGUGAAAUUGUCAAAAGGGAAGCGUUUAACACCAGUGUUGUUUUCUGAAAAUCAACCUCUGUUAGCUUUAUGCAUGUUUGUUUAGACCUAAUCAGCUAUCUUUCAUGUUCUAUUGUUUGCAGUGGUGCACUUUUCAGUUUACAGGUCAACAUCAGUUUUUUUUACCGUAAAAAAGUUAAAGAAAGGUAGCUCAUGGCUCCGGUCGUGAGUGUUAUAGUCUUUUUCCUAUGCGGUAGGAGAGACUGAGGUCUGCAGUGUAGGCUAUUUGGCUAGAUACUCAGGUGCUAUGUGAUACCAUUUCAUAAACAACCUGUUGAUUAUGUUUUGUCUAUUGCAUACUCGCUUGUACUAUCAUACCUACGCUUAGGAUGUUGAGUAGCGACAUACGCAC
rnacentral:rRNA from 1 species